rnacentral:rRNA from 1 species
AUUGAACGCUGGCGGCAUGCUUUACACAUGCAAGUCGAACGGUAACAGGUUAAGCUGACGAGUGGCGAACGGGUGAGUAAUGCAUCGGAACGUGCCCGAUCGUGGGGGAUAACGCAGCGAAAGCUGCGCUAAUACCGCAUACGAUCUGAGGAUGAAAGCGGGGGACCGUAAGGCCUCGCGCGAUCGGAGCGGCCGAUGUCAGAUUAGGUAGUUGGUGGGGUAAAGGCUCACCAAGCCGACGAUCUGUAGCUGGUCUGAGAGGACGACCAGCCACACUGGGACUGAGAAACGGCCCAGACUCCUACGGGAGGCAGCAGUGGGGAAUUUUGGACAAUGGGCGCAAGCCUGAUCCAGCAAUGCCGCGUGCAGGAAGAAGGCCUUCGGGUUGUAAACUGCUUUUGUACGGAGCGAAAAGGCUCUGGUUACUACCUGGGGUCGAUGACGGUACCGGAAGAAUAAGGACCGGCUAACUACGUGCCAGCCGCCGCCGUAA